GGUAAUUAAGUUAUAAUUGGUAAAGCUUAGUAACAUAUUUUUAGAACCAUUAAUUAAUUUAUUAUUGUAUGGUUGGAACAAUCUUUGUUUCCAGUUUCUUUUACAUUAUGCUAAUCAGGCCAGCUAUAAAAUAGCCACCUUAGGUGGCGUGGAAAGUCUCUUCCGUUUUUGUUGUCCUGUCUGAUGUGUUGAAGUGUCAGAAGAUUUAUGUCCUGUUCAUCUGUUUGUGAACUGGUUAUUAAGAACAUUGUUGUGCUUUGUUUGGUUUAUGGUUUAGUGGAGAAUUUAUGUAUUGAUAUCAGCAGUUGUUCAAGGAAAGGUUGUUGGCUGAAGGAGAGAUUUGUUGAUUUAUUACAUUAACCAUUUACUUGUAAGUUUGCAUUUAUUUUGAAAAUAAUAAAGAAAUUAAUUGUUUUUUUUUUUUGAUGGAGUUCUUUGGUGAGAUGGUGGACUCAAUCCUGAAUUGGAUGGAUUCACGAGAAAUUAUGGUUCAAGUAAAGAUAUUUACGAUGAGAAAGCCGCUAAUGAGGGGGCACAGGGUUGGAAAAAGGCAGGAGCAAGGGCUCUUACUUUGCAAAGAGAGUAAGAAUUUUUUGGCCUUCCUUCAUAUUAGAAUAAGUAUAGCAAUGGUUCUUUUUAAUUUAGGACAAUUACUAUCUUUUAGUGGAUUCAAAUGAGAAUCUCAAAAGAAAUAUACAUGUAGUUUUCAGUUUAUGAAUUCUUGGGUUUGCAAGAUUUUUUUGAAAUAUGAACUAUCAAAAAGAUUGAAAAUAUGAAUAUUACUUGCAAUAAAUAAAUGUUAAACAUUUAUAAAAAGAUAUUUAAAUUCAUGUACAUAGUUAUUAUAUAUAGUAAAAUUGGUUUGUAGCAGAAACUCUAUAAUCUGAUAUGAAAAUUCCAAAUGGUGGCCAAGAAGUGGAAGUAGUAUACACACUAAUUUUACCAACAUAUUAUGUAAAUAAGUUCCAUCUCCAGAUUGUACUUAAAGUAGCAGUUCAUCUGUAUUAAAGAUCAUCUACUAAUCUCUCAAUUAUAUUGAAGAAUAAAAAUUCUUUAACAUUAAUAUGACAUAAAUUAUUAUUAUUGUUAUAAUUUGUUUGAUUUUAACAGCUAU
rnacentral:lncRNA from 1 species